CCUACGGGAGGCAGCAGUAGGGAAUCUUCCACAAUGGGCGAAAGCCUGAUGGAGCAACGCCGCGUGGGUGAAGAAGGUCUUCGGAUCGUAAAACCCUGUUGUUAGAGAAGAAAGUGCGUGAGAGUAACUGUUCACGUUUCGACGGUAUCUAACCAGAACGCCACGUCUAACUACGUGCCAGCAGCCGCGGUAAUACGUAGGUGGCAAGCGUUAUCCGGAUUGAUUGGGAGUAAAGGGAACGCAGGCGGUCAUUUAAGUCUGAUGUGAAAGCCUUCGGCUUAACCGGAGUAGUGCAUUGGAAACUGGGAGACUUGAGUGCAGAAGAGGAGAGUGGAACUCGAUGUGUAGCGGUGAAAUGCGUAGAUAUAUGGAAGAACACCAGUGGCGAAAGCGGCUCUCUGGUCUGUAACUGACGCUGAGGUUCGAAAGCGUGGGUAGCAAACAGGAUUAGAUACCCGAGUAGUC
rnacentral:rRNA from 1 species